GUUGUAUGGUUAAGUGACUAAGCGUACACGGUGGAUGCCUUGGCAGUCAGAGGCGAUGAAGGACGUAUUAACUUGCGAUAAGCCCAGAUUAGGUAGUAAAAACCAUUUGAGUCUGGGAUUUCCGAAUGGGGAAACCCACUAGCAUAAGCUAGUAUCGCUGCGUGAAUACAUAGCGCAACGAGGCGAACCGGGGGAACUGAAACAUCUAAGUACCCCGAGGAAAAGAAAUCAACCGAGAUUCCGAAAGUAGCGGCGAGCGAAAUUGGACUAGCCCUUAAGCUUUUUAUGCGUCAGGUGAAACUUCUGGAAAGUUGUGCGAUACAGGGUGAUAGCCCCGUAACCGGCAACGCAUUUAAAGUGAAAUCGAGUAGGGCGGGACACGUGAUAUCCUGUCUGAAUAUGGGGGGACCAUCCUCCAAGGCUAAAUACUACUGACUGACCGAUAGUGAACCAGUACCGUGAGGGAAAGGCGAAAAGAACCCCUGUGAGGGGAGUGAAAUAGAACCUGAAACCGUGUACGUACAAGCAGUAGGAGCACCUUCGUGGUGUGACUGCGUACCUUUUGUAUAAUGGGUCAGCGACUUAUAUUCAGUGGCAAGGUUAACCAUCUAGGGGAGCCGUAGGGAAACCGAGUCUUAACUGGGCGUUCAGUCUCUGGAUAUAGACCCGAAACCAGGUGAUCUAGCCAUGGGCAGGUUGAAGGUUGAGUAACAUCAACUGGAGGACCGAACCGACUAAUGUUGAAAAAUUAGCGGAUGACUUGUGGCUAGGGGUGAAAGGCCAAUCAAACCUGGAGAUAGCUGGUUCUCCCCGAAAGCUAUUUAGGUAGCGCCUCGGACGAAUACUACUGGGGGUAGAGCACUGUUAAGGCUAGGGGGUCAUCCCGACUUACCAACCCUUUGCAAACUCCGAAUACCAGUAAGUACUAUCCGGGAGACACACGGCGGGUGCUAACGUCCGUCGUGGAGAGGGAAACAACCCAGACCGCCAGCUAAGGUCCCAAAUUACUACUAAGUGGGAAACGAUGUGGGAAGGCUCAGACAGCCAGGAUGUUGGCUUAGAAGCAGCCAUCAUUUAAAGAAAGCGUAAUAGCUCACUGGUCGAGUCGGCCUGCGCGGAAGAUGUAACGGGGCUAAGUAGUAAACCGAAGCUGCGGCAAUGCACUUUAGUGCAUUGGGUAGGGGAGCGUUCUGUAAGCGGUUGAAGGUGUGUGGUAACGCAUGCUGGACGUAUCAGAAGUGCGAAUGCUGACAUGAGUAACGAUAAAGGGGGUGAAAAACCUCCUCGCCGGAAGACCAAGGGUUCCUGUCCAACGUUAAUCGGGGCAGGGUAAGUCGACCCCUAAGGCGAGGCCGAAAGGCGUAGUCGAUGGGAAACGGGUUAAUAUUCCCGUACUUCUUACAAUUGCGAUGGGGGGACGGAGAAGGCUAGGUGGGCCUGGCGACGGUUGUCCAGGUUCAAGUGCGUAGGCUUAAGAGUUAGGUAAAUCCGGCUCUUUUUAAGGCUGAGACACGACGUCGAGCUACUACGGUAGUGAAGUCAUUGAUGCCAUGCUUCCAGGAAAAGCCUCUAAGCUUCAGAUUGUAAGGAAUCGUACCCCAAACCGACACAGGUGGUCGGGUAGAGAAUACCAAGGCGCUUGAGAGAACUCGGGUGAAGGAACUAGGCAAAAUGGUACCGUAACUUCGGGAGAAGGUACGCUCUCGACGGUGAAGUCCCUUGCGGAUGGAGCUAUUGAGAGUCGCAGAUACCAGGUGGCUGCAACUGUUUAUUAAAAACACAGCACUGUGCAAAAUCGUAAGAUGACGUAUACGGUGUGACGCCUGCCCGGUGCCGGAAGGUUAAUUGAUGGGGUUAGACUUCGGUCGAAGCUCUUGAUCGAAGCCCCGGUAAACGGCGGCCGUAACUAUAACGGUCCUAAGGUAGCGAAAUUCCUUGUCGGGUAAGUUCCGACCUGCACGAAUGGCGUAAUGAUGGCCACGCUGUCUCCACCCGAGACUCAGUGAAAUUGAAAUCGCUGUGAAGAUGCAGUGUACCCGCGGCUAGACGGAAAGACCCCGUGAACCUUUACUACAGCUUGGCACUGAACAUUGACCCUACAUGUGUAGGAUAGGUGGGAGGCUUUGAAGCACAGUCGCUAGAUUGUGUGGAGCCGUCCUUGAAAUACCACCCUUGUAGUGUUGAUGUUCUAACGUUGACCCCUAAUCGGGGUUGCGGACAGUGCCUGGUGGGUAGUUUGACUGGGGCGGUCUCCUCCCAAAGCGUAACGGAGGAGCACGAAGGUGGGCUAAUCACGGUUGGACAUCGUGAGGUUAGUGCAAUGGCAUAAGCCCGCUUGACUGCGAGAAUGACGGUUCGAGCAGGUGCGAAAGCAGGUCAUAGUGAUCCGGUGGUUCUGAAUGGAAGGGCCAUCGCUCAACGGAUAAAAGGUACUCCGGGGAUAACAGGCUGAUACCGCCCAAGAGUUCAUAUCGACGGCGGUGUUUGGCACCUCGAUGUCGGCUCAUCACAUCCUGGGGCUGAAGUCGGUCCCAAGGGUAUGGCUGUUCGCCAUUUAAAGUGGUACGCGAGCUGGGUUUAGAACGUCGUGAGACAGUUCGGUCCCUAUCUGCCGUGGGCGUUGGAAGAUUGAAGGGGGCUGCUCCUAGUACGAGAGGACCGGAGUGGACGAACCUCUGGUGUUCGGGUUGUGUCGCCAGACGCAUUGCCCGGUAGCUAAGUUCGGAAUCGAUAACCGCUGAAAGCAUCUAAGCGGGAAGCGAGCCCUGAGAUGAGUCUUCCCUGAUACUUUAAGUAUCCUAAAGGGUUGUUCGAGACUAGAACGUUGAUAGGCAGGGUGUGUAAGCGUUGUGAGGCGUUGAGCUAACCUGUACUAAUUGCCCGUGAGGCUUAACCAUACAACACCCAAGGGGUUU
rnacentral:rRNA from 1 species